rnacentral:lncRNA from 1 species
CUUAAUAGAGCUAAAAUAUCAGAAAAUUACGAGAGAAAAAAAAAAGAAUUGAAAUUGUAAAAGGAAAAUUAUGUGCUCAUCAAUGUGAAGUUAUCUUUACCUAUGCGCGAAGGCAUAUGAAUUCAAUAAAAAAUAGCAUACAGUGAGUAAAAUUGCCUAAGUUCAAAAGAUAGAAGUUAAAAAGGUUAAUAUUGUAAGAAAAUUAAAAGUAUACAUAUGAGCAUUCUGCAAGCAUUAGUAAAUUUUUUCACCUCUCUUAAUUUAAAAAUCUAAAUUUUCGUUUAUAUUCCAUUCUCAAAAUUCUAUGUAAAGACGUUUAUAGCCUGUGACGCUGAAUGUCUCUAAAUACACUAACUAACUAACUAAAUAGGUAAGGAAGAAGAUUCUUUGAAGCUUAUUAUCAAGAAUGAAAUCAUUAUACAAUGAUCAAUUAUCAAUAAUCACUAUACAAGGGUGAGAUGAGAUAGACAGAUAAGAAACGUAAUCUCUUAUCAUCAUGAAUAAAUCCAUUUUUAUUUCUUGUAUGAUAAGGCUUCAACGCUUGCUCCUUUUUUUAAUCUCUAGGAACUUUUUCUCAAUCUCGCCGAGAGCCUUGGCUCGGCCAGAGCUUUCUCCUUGUUCUGGUUUUACAACUGCACUUUCUUAUGAAUUCUUGGACUUUUGGACCUUUGGACGUUUGGGGAGGGAAAAUGGGAAGGCCGCUGGAAUGUGCUUGCUCCAUUGCUCCAUAGUCUAUUGUUAUAACACGGUACUGUUGAAAUGGUUGGUGUUCCCGCAACUUCCGAUGGUGACUUUGAAUCUGUAAUGAGAGGAAAUUCAGGUAUGCUGGUAAAAGACGCCUUUAUAAAAUUUUCAAAACAUAGAUUGCAAGUAAUGCAGAAUAUUUUUGUUCGCAAAAAUAAGAAAAUCCCCUUUAGUUUGCUUCAUGGUGAUGCCAGGAUGUAUGACACUUCCGAAUGCUGAAACUUCUGAUCUGAUGAAUACAAAUAAUGAUGCAUAUCAGAUUAUUUAAAGAGGUCAGAGGCCUGGCUGGUGCAACCACAUUUGGAACGCGCUAAGCAGAAAGGAACCAAGCCGCAUCAGUUUUUGCCAAAUUAAACUGGGCAAUUCAAUUUUUUACGUGAUAACGGUUGUGCGGAUUUGUGUACAAUUUCAGUGAAUUUUCUGCGUAGCAUGAUGCAAAUUCCUUAAAAUUCUCAAAAAAAUCCGCACAAACGUUCUUUUGUGAAUAAUUUUUUUGUUUGUUUAUUUAUUAUUUAUUUUUUGGUGUAAUAGUGAUUUUAUCUUAUCAGAUAACAAAUUUGAGGCAUUACCAACAGUGGUUAUAUCCGAAAUUAAGAAGAAGAGUGCAAAAAAGAGACAUAAUAAUAUUUGUGCAAUGAGUAAAUAUUGUGUACGUGAGUGUUCUUCUUUCCUAAUUAAUUCUAAACUAAGCUAAUUUACUUUAUAUCUAAAAAUAUUUUCCCGAUUUAAAUUAAUUACUUAAUCUAAAUUGUAGGUAUUGCUGUCACUAUUCUUGGAACUGUCAAAUACACUACUUCGGGAGGUAAAUUUGGUGGUUGGGUCAUUUUUUCUUUUAAAAUCUUGCCUUUGUUAAUUAAGAUGUCCUUAAUAAAUUUAUAUGUACAAUUCCAAUUAUUCUUACUUUCUAGCAUGAUAUUUACAAUAUUUGCAGGGUCAAUUUUUGUCCUAAUGUCUUUUCUAACUCUAUUCUGUCUUUGUUCCAGGUAGAACACUCAAAAAAGGUGUGGCCAAGAGUAUCUACAACUCCGAUAUUGCAACAUGGGCACUCAGCGGAAUCGCGUAGAUGGAAUCUAUGGAGAUAUUGUGCAUAACAUCCACAUGUUCCGAUAGAAAUUGUGAUGCUCCCUGUAUGACCACUCUGCAACAUCCGAAAUUAAAAUUCUAGUCCAAUUACUUUGCAGGUUGUUAUUUAACAUUUUUCCCAUUAAAUUUAAUGUAUCCAUUCUAAGUCUUAGGAUCCUCCUCUUUGAGCAUCCUCCUUAAUUUUUCUUCAAAAAAGAGGUCAGCUGGUGGUAUUGCUGAUAUAAGAUCUAGAGAUAGAUCCGACACAGUUCUAUAAGCACAAAUUAAAGAAGUUUUAAUCGGUCUUAACGUUUGUCUAAGUUUAUUUACAUUCUUUUUGGACUUAAGAGCAGGAGCCCAGAUCUGAAUUCCGUAUAAUAUAAUGGACACAACCGUAUUAAAGAAAAGAAGUCUUUUGUAGAAAGAUGGACCAUUUACAUUCGGCAUUAUGCUUCUUAACAUAUUAGUGACUUUUUUAGCUUUCUCGCAAACCGAGGUAAUAUGUGUGCUUAUACCUAAGUUUUUUGCACGGUGUAUUCCAAGGUGUUUCAUUGAAGUAGAUUGGGUAAUUUCCUCUUUAUCUAUUUUAAUUUUUGCAUAUUUUCUAUCUUUCUUCUUCCCUGUAACAAUUUUUUUUUGGGGGGGGUGUGUCUUUAACCCCCACGAGUGUAUCAAAAUGAGCUCGCUCUAUUGUAUCGCUUCCGAUUUUGAAUCCUAACAUCCCAGCCGAUGCAAUUGAGUAACUAAUCAAUGAAAAAUAAUAAGUAAAGGAUGGAAAGCUACUUUAAAAGACACCUCAAUUACAAAGGCCGAGAAGUCAGGCAAAAUCUUCUGCUCUUCAAUUAUGCCGGACUGGUUCUACUAAAUUUGGAAAAAGGGUUCGCGGUUAACUCACCGGCUAACACUACUCACUCGUGAGGUUGACACUCCGGCACCGUCUUCUGACAUUACAUCGGAGGAGUUUUUACUCGGUACUUUUCUAAUUUCAAUUUUUCGUAAUCUUUGUUUUUACUAGUAAUUAUACUUUUUAUAUAAUAUUGUCCAAUGUUCCAUUUACUUUUAUCUUCAAGCAUUUUGUCUAAGAAAUUAUUUUUGUUUAUUUUCUCUUUAAAUUUCGUUUCAACUUCUUCUCGCUCUUUUAUGAAUCUAUUACAAUUAAAGAAGACGUGUUCCGGGGUGUCAACCGUGCCGCAAUUGAGGCACAGGGGAGAAUCAAUUAAUUUUCGAGUAAAGAGGUAUUUCCUGAACGAUCCAUGACCAGUGAGGUACUGGGUCAUAUAAAAAUCUGGGUCUCCAUGUUUGCGGUCUAACCAUUUGUCUAUGUCUCCAAUGGAGUCUUUGAACCAAAAUUUCCUGGUUCUUGUAACCAUUUUUCUUUCCAUUUCUUCCUUAUAUAAGCUUUCGUUUCUGCCUGAUCUUCUUUAUUAAAAUUUCUUAUUUUUUCUUUAACUUGUAAUUCUAUUGAUGGGAUUCCAGUUAAGAUAUCUAAUCUAAGGCAAAGUUCGAGACUGCGGUGUAUCCACAGCAUAGUGAGAUUUUCAAUGGUCUUAAGGUGGAAGUUAUUAGAUUUUUGGAUUUCUUAAAUUUAAUCGCAGUUUGCCAAAUAGUUACUCCGUAAAAAAGAAUUGCCAUAAUUGCAUGUAUUAGCAGUUUUCUUCGAAAAAAUCCUGGUCCUUUUAAGUUAGGUAGUAGGCUUCUAUAAUAUGCGGUUGUUUUUUUCAUUUUGUUACAGACUGCACUGAUAUGUGGACUCAUAUUCAUCUUUGGACCAAAUUUGAAGCCUAAGUAGUCUAAUGUAUUUUCAGGUACUAUUGUUGUUCGGUCAUUGAUUAUUUCUGUAUUUUCGUCGCAUCUGUUUGCGUUUACGAUGAGGGCCUCAGUAUUCUUAUCUUCAGUCUCAAGUUUCUUCUGUUUAAGUUUCUUUUUAAAUCUUUUUGUCAAUUUUUGUGUGUCUGUUUUAAGUUGUUUUUUAUCUGCUGAUUCUACUAUCAAUAAUGUGUCGUCCGCAUAUACGUUCUUAUUCCCUCUCACAUUCAUUUUCAUUCUUACUAUCUCGUCAUAGAUGAUUAGGAAGAUUAUCGGUCCCAAGACUGUGCCUGCCCAACUCCCGAGUUUAUUUUGAGUGUAUAUCCAGGAAUUUUCAGGCUUCUCUUUUCCAGGUAGUUUUUCAUUAUUUCAACCAAAUAGGGCGGAAUCCCUCUUUUCAAUAAAGUUCGGAUGAAGUCAGUCCAGGAUACAGAGUUAAAUGCGUUCCUUAUGUCCAUGGAGAUAGGGCACAUUAUUUCUCUUCUGGUUCCCUGUAACAAUUAUGCCCUCUGAUUUUUUAAUUUCUAAUAAAAGAUGUUUUUUCUCCAGUUCUGUCUUAAUUUUCUUCGUAAAAAAUAUUAAAUUGCCUGAUUAAAUUCGGCAAUAACUGGCUUGGUUCCUCCCUGCUGGACGCUGUGUUUUUCUAACUGGCGCCAAAAUCAGCCAGGAAUGAAGUUGCAAUCAUCAUACUUUUCCCGUGAAAGAACUAUUA